rnacentral:rRNA from 1 species
AGCGUAGGUGGAUAUUUAAGUGGGAUGUGAAAUACCCGGGCUUAACCUGGGUGCUGCAUUCCAAACUGGAUAUCUAGAGUGCAGGAGAGGAAAGGAGAAUUCCUAGUGUAGCGGUGAAAUGCGUAGAGACUAGGAAGAAUACCAGUGGCGAAGGCGCCUUUCUGGACUGUAACUGACACUGAGGCUCGAAAGCGUGGGAGCAAACA